rnacentral:misc_RNA from 1 species
GAAAUGCGAUAAGUAGUGUGAAUUGCAGAAUUCAGUGAAUCAUCGAAUCUUUGAACGCACAUUGCGCCCUUUGGUAUUCCUUAGGGCAUGCCUGUUCGAGCGUCAUUUAAACCCUCAAGCUCAGCUUGGUGUUGGGCGUCUGUCCCCCCCACUACGUGGGCGGGGACUCGCCUCAAAUCGAUUGGCGGCCGGUACGUUGGCUUCGAGCGCAGCAGAAACGCGAACUCGAGGCCCGGCGGAUCGGCGACCAGAAGUCACUUCUUCACAGUUUGACCUCGGAUCAGGUAGUCCUACCUGAUUUGAGGUCAAAAUUUCAAAAUGGUUGUCCUUUGCAGGGCAGUUGGAAGCAGAACAAAACAGAGAGCGUUCACAAGUCGUUGGCGUAGAUAAUUAUCACACC